AAUGAACGUUGGCGGCGUGGAUUAGGCAUGCAAGUCGAGCGAGAAGCCCCCUUCGGGGGGUGGACAGCGGCGAACGGGGUAGGAUCACCUCGGGACGUGCCCCCCGGACGGGGAUAGCCAGGGGAAACCCUGGGUAAUACCCGAUGAUCUCUGCGGAGCAAAGGUGUGAGUCCGCCGGGGGAGCGGCCGAGGCGCUAUCAGCUUGUUGGCGGGGUAACGGCCCACCAAGGCUUAGACGGCUAGGGGGUGUGAGAGCAUGGCCCCCACCACUGGGACUGAGAUACUGCCCAGACACCUACGGGUGGCUGCAGUCGAGGAUCUUCGGCAAUGGGCGCAAGCCUGACCGAGCGACGCCGCGUGCGGGACGAAGGCCUUCGGGUUGUAAACCGCUGUCAGAGGGGAUGAAAAGCCAGGAGGUCCACCUCCUGGCCGUGACAGAGCCUCAGAGGAAGCACGGGCUAAGUUCGUGCCAGCAGCCGCAGUAACAC
rnacentral:rRNA from 1 species